UUUAUGUUGACCCCUAUUCUAUGGACUGCUUCUGACAGGAAGUUGAAAGAAGAAUGAACUGUUCCUUGCCAAUAGGUUUAAGUUCUUAUUUACGUCAACGUGGAAUAAGAUGAGAAGUGUCCAAACGAUUCCCAUCUCACUUUAAAGCAAAUUAAACAAAACAAAAUGCGAUUUCUAGUUCAGAAUGGUCAUCAGAGCACGGCUGGCUGGAGUUCCUGCCCCUGCCCCAGGUGACGCAGUCAUGAAAACAUAAAUAAAAGUGAACGAGAGGGGCAGGUAUCCGUUACCGAGAGCCCCGACUUUCCUGUAGACUCUGGUCCGUCUGUCUGAACAACCAUGAUUGAAUCUCCGUGGAAACUGGCAGAGCCUUGAUUCUUUAGAUCCAAGAAAUACACUUUCACUGACUCCUGAAGGGCCAGCUCUGUUAAGGACCCAGUGACAGAGCCUGUGUGUAACAGGUGCUUGCCUUGGUUAUCAUUUCUCCAGAUGACAGCUUCCAGGACCUUCAAAAUGCUAACCAGACAUUCAAAGGCGCUACAGAUGUGCUUCCCGGGCGGUACUUUUCUGUGCUCCAGGAUGCUCUAGCCCAGCAGAACGACCCUCACUCACAAUUCUCAGUAGAAGAGCAUUGAAAAGAGAAUAAAGAACAGAACAAUUGAUAAAAAAUAACAGCCUCUUAAAAAAGUUACUCAAAGAAAAGGAGUGAGAGAACACAGGAGGCCUCAAGUCAGCAGACGAUGCUCGUAGGACUUGGGGCCUCCCACCUGCACCAGGACAUGCCAGCUCUGCCCCGGGCACUGCCAAGGCUGAACAGAGCAUCUUCUGAUGAUGAAGAGCACGGUGACGCGUGCUACGUGGUUACAAUCCAGGUUCCUGAAU